rnacentral:lncRNA from 1 species
ACAGUAUAUUAGUCCUUUCGUUUGGUUCGGGUAUAAACAAGAACUGCCUAUUUCAAAAAUAGGUAUAAGUUUAGGUAUAAACCUAGAAUAUAUCAAUUUUGUGUUUGGAUAAAAAUUAAAUUAUUUUCGAAAAUAAAAAAAUAGUGUUUAAAUACACAAGAUGAAAUAAAAAGAAAUUGUGGGUAAUUAUAAAUAAAAAAUAAUUAUAUUGCCCCUACAUUGUAUUUGAAUUUAAAUUUUUAAAGUUUAUAUUUAAAUUUUUAAAUUUAAAUAUGUAACUUUUAAAUUAAAAAAAUUAAAAUUAAAUUUAAAAUUUUAAAUCUCAAAUUCAAAAUUUUAAAGUUCUAAAUUUUAAAUUUUAGAUUAAAUCAAAAUUUAAAUAUAUAGAAUAUCAAAUCUUAAAUUUAAAAAAAUUUAAAAUAUCAAUUUAAAAUUUAGAAGUUAAAAUUAUAAAAUUUUAAUUUUAUAAUUACAAAUUAUAAAUUAAAGUUUAAAAUAUAAAUACAAAUUUAAAUUUUUUUUAAAAAUAAAUAGGGGUGGUAACAGCUGUUCCACCUC